AUUUAUCGUCGAAUAUCAUGAAUCUUGUUGCACUAAUUUUCAUUUUCAUUUACUUUGUUGGCAUUGUGCAGGCUGUUGAUCGAUGUCUUCAGAAACCUGGAGUAGCAGGGAGUUGCUAUGCCUACCAUAUGAGGUAUUCCUACUAUCCAAAUAGAGGAAAGUGUAAAAUGUUCAUCUAUGGUGGAUGCCCAGGAGAGAGCGAUAAUCGUUUUCGAUCACGUAGCCAAUGCGAAAGUCGCUGCCACGGAAUGUGAAUUUAAUUUGUGAACCGGCCAUUUAAGAAGAGAUCUAUUGAAAAAUAUUACGCACUUCUAACUUUACACACAGCAAACUCUAUAAAAAAGAAAAAACAGCAGGCGUAAACAAUCGAUUAAAAAUAUUUAUUUUAUUUGA